GGGGCUAUAGCUCAGCUGGGAGAGCGCCUGUUUUGCACACAGGAGGUCAGCGGUUCAAUCCCGCUUAGCUCCACCA
rnacentral:tRNA from 1 species